GAAACAUCUAAGUACCCCGAGGAAAAGAAAUCAACCGAGAUUCCCCCAGUAGCGGCGAGCGAACGGGGAGCAGCCCAGAGUCUGAAUCAGCUUGUGUGUUAGUGGAACGGUCUGGAAAGUCCGACGGUACAGGGUGAUAGUCCCGUACACCAAAAUGCACAGGUUGUGAACUCGAAGAGUAGGGCGGGACACGUGGUAUCCUGUCUGAAUAUGGGGGGACCAUCCUCCAAGGCUAAAUACUCCUGACUGACCGAUAGUGAACCAGUACCGUGAGGGAAAGGCGAAAAGAACCCCGGCGAGGGGAGUGAAAAAGAACCUGAAACCGUGUACGUACAAGCAGUGGGAGCACCUUCGGGUGUGACUGCGUACCUUUUGUAUAAUGGGUCAGCGACUUAUAUUCUGUAGCAAGGUUAACCGUAUAGGGGAGCCGCAGGGAAACCGAGUCUUAACUGGGCGUUAAGUUGCAGGGUAUAGACCCGAAACCCGGUGAUCUAGCCAUGGGCAGGUUGAAGGUUGGGUAACACUAACUGGAGGACCGAACCGACUAAUGUUGAAAAAUUAGCGGAUGACUUGUGGCUGGGGGUGAAAGGCCAAUCAAACCGGGAGAUAGCUGGUUCUCCCCGAAAGCUAUUUAGGUAGCGCCUCGUGAACUCAUCUUCGGGGGUAGAGCACUGUUUCGGCUAGGGGGUCAUCCCGACUUACCAACCCGAUGCAAACUACGAAUACCGAAGAAUGUUAUCACGGGAGACACACGGCGGGUGCUAACGUCCGUCGUGAAGAGGGAAACAACCCAGACCGCCAGCUAAGGUCCCAAAGUCAUGGUUAAGUGGGAAACGAUGUGGGAAGGCACAGACAGCCAGGAUGUUGGCUUAGAAGCAGCCAUCAUUUAAAGAAAGCGUAAUAGCUCACUGGUCGAGUCGGCCUGCGCGGAAGAUGUAACGGGGCUAAACCAUGCACCGAAGCUGCGGCAGCGACACUAUGUGUUGUUGGGUAGGGGAGCGUUCUGUAAGCCUGCGAAGGUGUGCUGUGAGGCAUGCUGGAGGUAUCAGAAGUGCGAAUGCUGACAUAAGUAACGAUAAAGCGGGUGAAAAGCCCGCUCGCCGGAAGACCAAGGGUUCCUGUCCAACGUUAAUCGGGGCAGGGUGAGUCGACCCCUAAGGCGAGGCCGAAAGGCGUAGUCGAUGGGAAACAGGUUAAUAUUCCUGUACUUGGUGUUACUGCGAAGGGGGGACGGAGAAGGCUAUGUUAGCCGGGCGACGGUUGUCCCGGUUUAAGCAUGUAGGCUGAUUGUCCAGGCAAAUCCGGAUAAUCAAGGCUGAGGUGUGAUGACGAGGCACUACGGUGCUGAAGUAACAAAUGCCCUGCUUCCAGGAAAAGCCUCUAAGCAUCAGGUAACAUUAAAUCGUACCCCAAACCGACACAGGUGGUCAGGUAGAGAAUACCAAGGCGCUUGAGAGAACUCGGGUGAAGGAACUAGGCAAAAUGGUGCCGUAACUUCGGGAGAAGGCACGCUGGUGUGUAGGUGAAGUCCCUGCGGAUGGAGCUGAGACCAGUCGAAGAUACCAGCUGGCUGCAACUGUUUAUUAAAAACACAGCACUGUGCAAACACGAAAGUGGACGUAUACGGUGUGACGCCUGCCCGGUGCCGGAAGGUUAAUUGAUGGGGUUAUCCGUAAGGAGAAGCUCUUGAUCGAAGCCCCGGUAAACGGCGGCCGUAACUAUAACGGUCCUAAGGUAGCGAAAUUCCUUGUCGGGUAAGUUCCGACCUGCACGAAUGGCGUAAUGAUGGCCAGGCUGUCUCCACCCGAGACUCAGUGAAAUUGAACUCGCUGUGAAGAUGCAGUGUACCCGCGGCAAGACGGAAAGACCCCGUGAACCUUUACUAUAGCUUGACACUGAACAUUGAGCCUUGAUGUGUAGGAUAGGUGGGAGGCUUUGAAGCGUGGACGCCAGUCUGCGUGGAGCCAACCUUGAAAUACCACCCUUUAAUGUUUGAUGUUCUAACGUUGGCCCCUGACCGGGGUUGCGGACAGUGUCUGGUGGGUAGUUUGACUGGGGCGGUCUCCUCCCAAAGCGUAACGGAGGAGCACGAAGGUUAGCUAAUCCUGGUCGGACAUCAGGAGGUUAGUGCAAUGGCAUAAGCUAGCUUGACUGCGAGCGUGACGGCGCGAGCAGGUGCGAAAGCAGGUCAUAGUGAUCCGGUGGUUCUGAAUGGAAGGGCCAUCGCUCAACGGAUAAAAGGUACUCCGGGGAUAACAGGCUGAUACCGCCCAAGAGUUCAUAUCGACGGCGGUGUUUGGCACCUCGAUGUCGGCUCAUCACAUCCUGGGGCUGAAGUAGGUCCCAAGGGUAUGGCUGUUCGCCAUUUAAAGUGGUACGCGAGCUGGGUUUAGAACGUCGUGAGACAGUUCGGUCCCUAUCUGCCGUGGGCGCUGGAGAAUUGAGGGGGGCUGCUCCUAGUACGAGAGGACCGGAGUGGACGCAUCACUGGUGUUCGGGUUGUCAUGCCAAUGGCACUGCCCGGUAGCUAAAUGCGGAAGAGAUAAGUGCUGAAAGCAUCUAAGCACGAAACUUGCCCCGAGAUGAGUUCUCCCUGAGACUUUAAGUCUCCUGAAGGAACGUUAAAGACGAUGACGUUGAUAGGCCGGGUGUGUAAGCGCAGCGAUGCGUUGAGCUAACCGGUACUAAUGAACCGUGAGGCUUAACCUU
rnacentral:rRNA from 1 species